rnacentral:sRNA from 1 species
CUGACAGCUCUUGAGAUUGAAGUCUUCUGUUUAUCCACAGAACAGAUACAACAUAGGCAGUGGCAGUACAAGAUUUUUAACACACACGCACCCCUGCCAAUGUGCCUCACCCUUGACCUGAAGGGGCAUCUCUAUAGGUGAGAGGAUAGCUCAGUCUCUGUGUCCUUUCAAUGCUUGGCCUUU